CAAUAGCGUAUAUUAAAAUUGUUGCGGUUAAAAACGCUCGUAGUUGGAUAUUUGUUGAGAACUGCCGGUCUACCCCAGUGGUUAGCACACGGUUUGUCCUCGGCACUUUCCUGGGGAGAGUGUUUGCACUUCAUUGUGUGGCACAUGAUCCAGAACUUUUACUUUGAGGAAAUGAGAGUGUUUCAAGCAGGCGCCUGUCGUGAAUACGUUAGCAUGGAAUAAUAGCAUAGGACCGCGGUCUGAAGCUGUUGGUUUUUGGACCUGGGGUAAUAAAAAUGAGGGAUAAGUUGGGGGGUAUUGCGUAUUUAACUGUCAGAGGUGAAAUUCUUGGAUUUUUUAAAGACGGACUACUGCGAAAGCAUUUACCAAGGAUGUUUUCAUUAAUCAAGAACGAAAGUUAGGGGAUCGAAGACGAUUAGAU
rnacentral:rRNA from 1 species